AUCUAGAUUAGAGUUUGAUCCUGGCUCAGAACGAACGCUGGCGGCGUGCCUAAGACAUGCAAGUCGUGCGAGAAAGGGACUUCGGUCCUGAGUACAGCGGCGCACGGGUGAGUAACGCGUGGGUAACCUACCUCGAAGUUGGGAAUAACCCGGGGAAACCUGGGCUAAUGCCGGAUGAGCCUACGAGAUCUUCGGAUCAUGUGGGAAAAGAUGGCCUCUGCUUGCAAGCUAUCGCUUCGAGAUGGGCCCGCGUCCCAUUAGCUAGUUGGUGAGGUAACGGCUCACCAAGGCUCCGAUGGGCAGCUGGUCUGAGAGGACGAUCAGCCACACUGGAACUGAGACACGGUCCAGACUCCUACGGGAGGCAGCAGUCGGGAAUCUUGGGCAAUGGGCGCAAGCCUGACCCAGCGACGCCGCGUGAGGGAUGAAGGCCUUUGGGUCGUAAACCUCUGUCGGGAGGGAAGAACGUCGGCAGGGUGAACAAUCCUGUCGGUUGACGGUACCUCCAAAGGAAGCGCCGGCUAACUCCGUGCCAGCAGCCGCGGUAAUACGGAGGGCGCAAGCGUUGUUCGGAAUCACUGGGCGUAAAGCGCGUGUAGGCGGCCGGGCAAGUCGGAUGUGAAAUCCCGAGGCUCAACCUCGGAACUGCAUUCGAAACUGCUCGGCUCGAGUCCCGGAGAGGAUGGCGGAAUUCCCGGUGUAGGGGUGAAAUCCGUAGAUAUCGGGAGGAACACCAGUGGCGAAGGCGGCCAUCUGGACGGUGACUGACGCUGAAACGCGAAAGCGUGGGGAGCAAACAGGAUUAGAUACCCUGGUAGUCCACGCCGUAAACGGUGAGUGCUAGACGUCGCGGGUAUCGACCCCCGCGGUGUCGCAGCUAACGCAUUAAGCAUCCCGCCUGGGGAGUACGGUCGCAAGAUUAAAACUCAAAGGAAUUGACGGGGGCCCGCACAAGCGUGGAGCAUGUGGUUCAAUUCGAAGCAACGCGCAG
rnacentral:rRNA from 1 species